rnacentral:lncRNA from 1 species
UAGCCAUGGGAGUGGGGCUACCAUAAUCUUGAAGCCCUGGUUUCUCACAAACUAUAAAUCUUAUGUCAAUGAAACUUGGUUUAUAUUUGAAACUUGUUUUUUUAGUUGAAACUUGGUUUAUAGUUGAACCUAUGGAUGGUCAUCAGAGUGCAUGGAAAAUUUGUUUAUUGUAGGCGAGACAUUCAAUGCUGUGGAAUCUUGUUUUUAAUUUAGUGACAUUUUAAAAGUUGUUUACAAUCUUUAAUUCUUCUAACUUACUAAGUAGGGGUCAAAAGGGCAAGUCUCCUAAUUUCAUAACCAUAUUGAAAUGACAGUGGCCAUGCCAUGUUCACUGUUAGCCUAAAAAACUGGAAUAUGCCCCACCUCUCAAAAAUACAAGCAAACAACAACAACAAAAAAAGAAGAAGAAAAAGCAAACAACCUGUACAAUAAAAAAAAACCCACAUUUAUAGCGAUUUAGGAGGCAGUUGAAUAUCUCUGCCAUCCCCACCCCACCCCAACAUCCCAUCUCAAAUGUCCAUGUUUUAGCUAUGAAACUAGAGAUAUUUUAAAAUUGUAUUUUGUAACACUUUGUCAGUAUAUUUUUUUCUAAACAUUUUAAUUUUUUUUAGAUUUGUGUACUCAAGAGUUAAUUUCUCAGGAAAUAAAAAGCAUAUUAGUAUUAUAGAGUUUUUAAAAGUUUAAAUCCUGUUCCAUAUUAUAUUUGAUGGAUGAAUUUGUAUGUACAAGUACGCCCACUAUAGGAUUACCAAAUAAGUAUUGCACAAGGCUUGAAAUUCACUGUGAGGAGUGGAAAGCAGACUUUGCUUCUCAGAUUUCAAACUGGAAGCAAAUUCUAAAAAUUAAGCAAAUUCUAGAAAUUAAGAAGCAAUUCUAGAAAUCUGUCUCAACAUUAGAUUUUAUACCAGCAAUGUGGAGCACUUGAGACGAGCAAGAAUAAAAAUAUAAUAUUUAUAUCAUCAUUCCUGAGAAUUCUUGAUAUAUCUGAAAUACUGUGAAAAAUAAGAUAAAUAUUACUGUUUCUGAAAAAAAAAUCUAUAUAUAUCUAAAAUACUGUGAAAAAUAAGAUAUAUAAGCCUAUUACUUUUUCUGAAAAAAAAAUCUCUAUAUAUUUAAAAUACUGUGAAAAAUCUCUAUAUAUAUUACUGUUUCUGAAAAAAACAGUUGUCAAUAUAUCUAAAAUACUGUCAAAAUAAGAUAUAUAUUACUGUUUCUGAAAAUAAAAAUCUAUAUAUCUGAAAUAGUGUCAAAAAUAAGAUAGAAAUCUAAAGCUACUUGUGAAGUUGAUCAGCAGAAAGCAUAUUGUGCAUUUUGAGAGGCAUUGACUGCCUUCCCUCUGUUAAUUUAGAGCCUUGCAAAUUGUAAAGAAAAAGAGAAAAACCCACUAUUGAGGUAAGGAAGUAGGUACAUGCUUGUGGCACAAAGACUUGUAUCAAAUAGUUUGUUCAUGUGUUGUUUGUUUUUCAAUUAAAUGUUUAUUAUUAGUGAUAUGGAGACAGCUUGAUAAACUUGCAUAUUCUGGUAGGUUCCAUGUGAAAUAUUACUUUUAUUAGAAAACAUUCAGUGAUAUUCAGUGAAACCAGACCCUCAGUAAAUGAGAAAUCAGAAAAUCACAUCGACAAAAAAUAAGAGAUAUUCUUUGUAUGUAUAUAUUAAUCACAUUUUAUAACAGACAAAAAGACAACAACAUGAUAUAUCAUCUUCAUGUAUAUAAUUCUGACUUACAGUGGAAAAAGGGGAGAACUAGUUUGGAUAAACUAUUUAAUACAAGUCUUUGCAGUUUGUAGCUGUGUAAUAAGUAAAACAGAAGCCAAGUAUAAAAAAUGAUUAACUCAGGAACUGGGUAUCCAAGUUUAUUGUUAUUUCCAACCCGUAAUCACAGCGUACUUUUAUCUCCAUCACAGAGUGUACAGUUAUUUUUAUCAGUGUACUUCCAGAGUACAGUGUGCUUCCAAUCCCAGUAAUAUAUUGUGUAUAAUAACAUAAUUAUAUAAUAAUACAGUAGUUUUUAUGUAAAUGGUUUUCGAAUUGUGCCUUAAUAUUUUUUUAUGAUAUAUAUAUCAUUUUAAAGUAAUCUGCAGAAUUUGUAUAGUUCAGUAUCUUUAUAUGUUAUUAUAAAAUGUAUACAGUGUCUUCCAAAUAAGAAAAUUUGAAUAUUUGUUUUUCUCACAAUUUCUACUUACUCUACCUUAUGGACAUUUAUAAAUAUUUGUGCCCAAGAAAAAUAGCUGAGAGUGUAUGAGGAGUGAACACUUCUCACACCUGAUGGUGCAGGAUGCCAAAACUUAUAAGAUGUAAUGUGAGACUUGUAUCUAUAAUAAAAUAUGCAAGGCCUGUUUAACACUUUCUCAUCGUUCUGACCACUUCUCCUCUUUUGAUCUGUACUGCUGACAACCUUCUUUAUAUUUAGCCGAUGUCACAUUUCGCAAUUAUCUUUUUUGCGCUCGAAUCCAGUCAACUCCUGUACACACAUAGUGCUAAAUAUUGCAUACAAAAAUGAAUUCCAUCAAUACAACCAUAAUGGAGGCUGCCAGCUUUGUCACUUCACACAGAAGUGGCUAUGUACUUAGCAGCCGUGCAUAUAAGAAGAAGAUAACUGCGAUCUGAGGCCAUACAUGGGGGGAAAGGGGUAGCAGCGAUCAAAAUUUGCAACGCCCUUCACAAUAAGCUGUAACAGUUGUAAAAUUUAUAUACUACAGCAUUUCUAGCAUUGCCGGGUAUUUUUUUAUUUCUAAAACAUAUUGCCCUAGCAGAAUGAUCUGAAUUUCAUGGGUUGGGGUAAUGACAGUUAAUUCCAGCAUUCACUUUUAAAAUUAACAAAAAACAAAAAAUAAAUACAUCUUUAACAAAAGUCAACAUUUUGGAUGUGCCUUAGCAGGGGAGAGGAAAGGGGUAAUACAGUUGGACUAUGGACUAAGUGUGUUGAAUUAAUCACAUUUGUGAAUGGGCCUGUUAGGUAAAAAUUGCCAAUUGAUGUACAUGUAUAUAGCUGCAUAAUGAUUCAUGAAUGUUAAAAAAAAAACCCCAAUAAUUUGCCUGUUAUGUUUCUUUUUGGAUAUAUUUUGAGCUAUUUGUUGUUUUUCAUAUUUUCAUUCCAUCAGUAUAUACUGGAGUGUUGACCUAUUUUUAUCAUAUUUAUCAUAUACACUUGUAUUUAACGACAUCAUAAUGUAGUAUUCAUAUAGAUUGUAUAUUUUCAUUGUUUUUUAGGAUGUACAUUUAUGUAACUGUCAGGCCAAUAUAGCUGAAUAUAAUACAUUACGUGAAUACGUUCUGAUGCAGUACGAAUUCUGAUGUGUUCUGAUACAGCUUCCAGAGAAAUAUAAGUUCUGUUCUAAUACAAUCAAUAAGAAUCUAUGCUAUUUUCCCAUACAGCUUUCAGGUCGAUAUGUUCUUAUGCAAUACCCAUACAAAUAAAUAUGUUUUUAGUAUUAUUUAUGCAAAUAUGCUCAGAUAUAACAGUAAAUUAUAUGAUCUGAUAUAAUAUUGAGGAUGAUAUAAUUUAUGUUCUUUACAAUACCUAGGCUAAUAUUUUCGGAUAAAACACCUAGGCCGAUAUUUUCUGAUAAAAUAAGCAAGCUGAUAUGUUCUAAUAACAUACCUGGGCCAUUAUGUUUUAAUAAAAUACCAGGGCCAAUAUGUUCUAAUGAAAUACCAGGGCCAAUAUGAUCUAAUAAAAUAUCAGAGCCAGUAUGUCCUGAUAUAAUGCUCAAGCCAGUGUCCUGUAAUUACAAUAUCUAGGGUGAUGCUGAACGAUCUGAUACAAUUCCCAGGCCAAUAUGUUCCAAUACAGUGCCCAGGCAGUUAUCUGAUGAAAUACCCAGGCUGAUAUGGUCUGAUAACAUUAUACUGGUAUAUUAUGUAUGUUUAAACACAUCAUGAAGGUGAUGUUUUGUUAAUGAAUUGUUUUAGUAUAAAAAAUUUGAUAUGGCACUAUUGUUUUAAUAUAUUCAUAUGUUAAUUUUAUAUUUGUUCAAUGGAAUAUUAGUCGGAAAGAAUUAACCUAUUUGUCAUUCAUCCAUUCAAUCAUUCCAAACAGUAUAAAUAAAAAUCAACAUUCAGUGUUUAGAAUUGUGUAUCUGCGGGGCAGGAACACUUAUGUGUUCUCUAGUUUUUCAUCCUCACUCCCGCUGACAAUAAGCGCAUGUUGAAGAGAAUUUAAUAACCACAAUUGGUCACUGUUUUCACAUUCAUAAGUCUUAAAGGGAUUUUUUUGUUUGUUAAAUAUUCAAAAAAUAUGUUUAGUAAUUUUAUUGAUUGCAGUUAUACAGUUUUCUGUCUAUCAUACUACAUGUAUAUCCUCUGAAUUAACUUCAUCACAGAAAAAUAAAAAAGCGAAAUACUGGUAGUGGAUUACUGUCAUUUCAAUAAUGAAAGCACAUAAAUGAUGCACGUUUUGCAGGGGUUGGGUUUCGGGGGUUGAAUCCCUCCCCCCGCUGAAAGCAAUUUUUCUUGUUAUUUUACAUUUCUUGACACGCCCCACCAUAAAUUUAGCACACCACAGUCGACCCCCCCCAUCCCCCAUCAAUCACCCCCCCACCCCACCCCACACCCCGCUAAAAUUCCUGCACACGGGCCUGCAUUACUAGUUCUCGGACCCAAUUCAUCAAACUCUCCCAACUUUACAAUCUCACAGUGCAAUGAUGAAUAAUGUUCUGACGUUGCUUAAGAGAGCGUUGUGAACGAGGCCUCUGCUUGUCAGUCCUCGAUGUAAGACGUCCUAAAUUUAAAGGCGCAGACCCUAGUUUCAGCCUAUGGAAAUGGACACUAACUUUGGGUAAUCUACGAAACUGUAAAACAUCUGUGACGCUUAAAUGGGGAAAUGCCGUCAAAAAUACGUUGUUGAGGUUGGCUUGCGUUUUUAGAAUAAUGAAACACGUAUUUCCGGGUAUUACACAAACCAGAAUGAACAGAAACACAUUGGAUGUACGUAAAUGGGUAUUCUAAACAAUCCAAUGGAAGAAACUUAUAAUUUAAAUUAUUAAAACCGGCUGUAAUAGUGAAAAAUAUGUUGUAGUGUUUAAAAACUAAGAUCAAACGGCUGUAAUAAUAAAAAAAAUACGUCAUAGUGUUUAAAAACUAGGGUCUGUCGCUUUAAAGGAUUGCACAGAAAAUUGGUAAGCCAAAAGUAAAGUUGACUGAGCGCCAGACGAAGGUAAAACACUCGUUCUUGCAACUUAUGGAGGCCUGUGUGAGUUCGUUUGUUUACAGCAGUUUUGUUCUUAAACCUUUGUGUUAAACGCUUCACCAUUGGUCAUACCUCCAUGUGUAUAUGUUUGUAAACCAUUACGUGCAAUACAGUCCACGUGGACCCAUGUGGUGGGGGAAUUUGAUAAACUUUAUAUGCAAUAAAACAUUAUAUUGGUA